UACGUAGGGACCAAGCGUUGUCCGGAAUCAUUGGGCGUAAAGAGCGUGUAGGCGGCUUGUUAAGUCUUGCGUGAAAUCUCGGGGCUCAACCCCGAGCGGUCGUGAGAAACUGGCAGGCUAGAGUGCGGGAGAGGAGAGUGGAAUUCCAGGUGUAGCGGUGAAAUGCGCAGAUAUCAGGAAGAACACCCGUGGCGAAGGCGGCUCUCUGGAACGCAGCUGACGCUGAGACGCGAAAGCGUGGGGAGCAAACAGG
rnacentral:rRNA from 1 species